CAGACAUCAUUUUUUUUAAAGCAGAUAUCAUUUUUAAGCUCUGCUCUUUCACUUCUGCAGAAAACGUUGUAGAGAUUGGUUUUCCCAUAAGAUUUUAUUUUCUGCAGUCUGUAUUUCUUUUCAAAGAUUUCAAACUAGCUCUUGAUGUCUGAAAGCGUACUAUCUUUUGCAUAUGCAUUUUCCUUAUUUUAUUUAAUGUAAACCUUGCCUGAAUGCUUUUCCUAAUUAUGAGGUAACUAAUUAUCAGGAUCACAUUUCUCUGGGCCUGAUCUUCUGCUCAUUUGUAUCACUCAGGAUUCCUGGAUAACAGAAACUCAACUUGAUCUACCGGUAGCAAAGAUUCAGUCACUACUCAGGCCCAAGUACCUGGUGGAAAGAUAUUGGGACUUUUGAGUCAGACCACGUCAGAAUCGGAGCUCUGCUUCUUACUAUGAGGACUUAAGCAAGCUUCUUAGCCACCAGAAGCCACAUCUUCCUCAACUGUAAAAUGGGACUUCUAGUCAGGAAUGUCAAUACUACAGUUUUCCUUGGGACGCCUAGGUGGCUCAGCGGUUGAGCAUCUGCCUUUGGCUCAGGGCAUGAUCCCACAAUCCCGAGAUUGAGACCCACAUCGGGCACCCUGCAUGGAACCUGCUUCUCCC